UACGGGGGGGGUAAGCGUUGUUCGGAAUUACUGGGCGUAAAGGGCUCGUAGGCGGCCAACUAAGUCAGACGUGAAAUCCCUCAGCUUAACUGGGGAACUGCGUCUGAUACUGGAUGGCUUGGAUUCGGGAGAGGAAUGCGGAAUUCCAGGUGUAGCGGUGAAAUGCGUAGAUAUCUGGAGGAACACCGGUGGCGAAGGCGGCAUUCCGGACCGAUAUUGACGCUGAGGAGCGAAAGCCAGGGGAGCAAACGGG
rnacentral:rRNA from 1 species